rnacentral:tRNA from 1 species
GCUGUGAUGGCCGAGUGGUUAAGGCGUCGGACUCGAAAUCCAAUGUCGUCUUCCCGCGAAGGUUCGAAACCUGUUUGCAGCG